UACAGAGGGUGCGAGCGUUGUCCGGAAUCACUGGGCGUAAAGGGCGCGUAGGCGGCGCGGGUAGUCAUCGGUGAAAGUUCAGGGCUCAACUCUGAAUCGGCCGGUGAUACUCCCGUGCUCGAGCACUGUAGAGGCAGGUGGAAUUCCGGGUGUAGCGGUGGAAUGCGUAGAGAUCCGGAAGAACACCGGUGGCGAAGGCGGCCUGCUGGGCAGUAGCUGACGCUGAUGCGCGACAGCGUGGGGAGCAAACAGG
rnacentral:rRNA from 1 species